rnacentral:rRNA from 1 species
UACGUAGGGGGCGAGCGUUGUCCGGAUUUAUUGGGCGUAAAGAGCUCGUAGGCGGUUUGGCAAGUCGGGUGUGAAAACUCCGGGCUCAACUCGGAGACGCCACUCGAUACUGCUAUGACUCGAGUCCGGUAGGGGAGUGCGGAAUUCCCGGUGUAGCGGUGAAAUGCGCAGAUAUCGGGAGGAACACCGGUGGCGAAGGCGGUUCUCUGGGACGGUACUGACGCUGAGACGCGAAAGCGUGGGGAGCGAACAGG